rnacentral:rRNA from 1 species
UACAGAGACUGCAAGCGUUAUUCGGAUUCACUGGGCGUAAAGGGUGCGCAGGCGGCCGUGUGUGUCAGGUGUGAAAGCCCGGGGCUUAACCCCGGAAUUGCGCCUGAAACUACAUGGCUAGAGCAUUGGAGAGGGUAGCGGAAUUCACGGUGUAGCAGUGAAAUGCGUAGAUAUCGUGAGGAACACCAGAGGCGAAGGCGGCUACCUGGACAAUUGCUGACGCUCAGGCACGAAAGCGUGGGGAGCAAAAGAG